GCCCAGUUUUGGGCCCUGGAAGGGGUCCGCCUUCCUGCAACAAAUGGCGACUCUGCCGGGACUCUUGUUAGCUGAGACUGACAUCCUGACCACUCAGGGUACUCAGGGGCCAGCUUGCCUGCCAAUGGACCAGAUCCAGAGGCCGCAACUGGGACCCUUUUGUCCCUGGUCUCCUCCUGAUGCGGACAACUGGCCAGAGUGCCCCGACCAGCCCCUACACUGGAUUGGUCUAUAGAGAAGACAGCUGACCUGAUCUCACCUUAAAAUGAUGCUCAAGCAGGAGAAACUACACUACACCAAGAUGAGAAGAUGACGACAUCAGAGGAGAUCCUGAUAAGGAAUAUGGAACUAAUGAGCCACCACCAACCGGAAGAGUUC